GCAUUGGUGGUUCAGUGCUAGAAUUCUUGCCUUCGAUGCAGGAGACUCGGGUUCAAUUCCUGACCAGUGCA